rnacentral:rRNA from 1 species
UACGAAGGGGGCUAGCGUUGCUCGGAAUCACUGGGCGUAAAGCGCACGUAGGCGGCUUUCUAAGUCAGGGGUGAAAUCCUGGAGCUCAACUCCAGAACUGCCUUUGAUACUGGAGAGCUAGAGUCCGGAAGAGGUGAGUGGAACUGCGAGUGUAGAGGUGAAAUUCGUAGAUAUUCGCAAGAACACCAGUGGCGAAGGCGGCUCACUGGUCCGGUACUGACGCUGAAGCACGAAAGCGUGGGUCGCGAAUGGG